AGAGUUUGAUCAUGGCUCAGAACGAACGCUGGCGGCGUGCCUGAGACAUGCAAGUCGUGGGAGAAAGUCGUAGCAAUACGGCAAGUAAACCGGCGCACGGGUGAGUAACACGUGGAUAACCUGCCUUAGAGUCUGGGAUAACCCGUCGAAAGACGAGCUAAUACCGGAUAAGACCACGGGAAGUUCGCUUCCUGAGGUAAAAGAUGGCCUCUGCUCCUGCAAGCUAUCACUUUGAGAGGGGUCCGCGUCCUAUCAGCUAGUUGGCGAGGUAACGGCUCACCAAGGCUAAGACGGGUAGCUGGUCUGAGAGGAUGGUCAGCCACACUGGGACUGAGACACGGCCCAGAGUCCUACGGGAUGCAGCAGUCAGGAAUAUUGCGCAAUGGAGGAAACUCUGACGCAGCGACGCCGCGUGGGUGAUGAAGGCCUUCGGGUCGUAAAGCCCUGUCGGAGGGGAAGAAAAGUCUGUUGGCUAAUAUCCAGCGGACCUUUGACGGUACCCUCAAAGGAAGCACCGGCUAACUCCGUACCAGCAGCCGCGGUAAGACGGAGGGUGCAAGCGUUGUUCGGAUUGACUGGGCGUAAAGGGCGUGUAGGCGGUUUGUCAAGUCGGGUGUGAAAGCCUGGGGCUCAGCCCCAGAAGUGCAUCCGAAACUAGCGAGCUAGAGCGCGAUAGUGGAGGGUGGAAUUCCUGGUGUAGCGGUGAAAUGCGUAGAUAUCAGGAGGAACACCGGCGGCGAANGCGGCCCUCUGGAUCGUUGCUGACGCUGAGACGCGAAAGCGUGGGGAGCAAA
rnacentral:rRNA from 1 species